UAAUACAUGCAAGUCGAACGCGUCUCCGUUAAUGAUUUUAGGUGCUUGCACUUGAAAGAUUUAACAUUGAGACGAGUGGCGAACUGGUGAGUAACACGUGGGUAACCUGCCCUUGAAGUAGGGGAUAACACUUGGAAACAGGUGCUAAUACCGUAUAACAACCAAAACCACCUGGUUUUGGUUUAAAAGACGGCUUCGGCUGUCACUUUAGGAUGGACCCGCGGCGUAUUAGCUUGUUGGUAAGGUAACGGCCUACCAAGGCGAUGAUACGUAGCCGACCUGAGAGGGUAAUCGGCCACAUUGGGACUGAGACACGGCCCAAACUCCUACGGGAGGCAGCAGUAGGGAAUCUUCCACAAUGGACGAAAGUCUGAUGGAGCAACGCCGCGUGAGUGAUGAAGGGUUUCGGCUCGUAAAACUCUGUUGUUGGAGAAGAACAGGUGUCAGAGUAACUGUUGACAUCUUGACGGUAUCCAACCAGAAAGCCACGGCUAACUACGUGCCAGCAGCCGCGGUAAUACGUAGGUGGCAAGCGUUGUCCGGAUUUAUUGGGCGUAAAGCGAGCGCAGGCGGUUUUUUAGGUCUGAUGUGAAAGCCUUCGGCUUAACCGGAGAAGUGCAUCGGAAACCGGGAGACUUGAGUGCAGAAGAGGACAGUGGAACUCCAUGUGUAGCGGUGAAAUGCGUAGAUAUAUGGAAGAACACCAGUGGCGAAGGCGGCUGUCUGGUCUGUAACUGACGCUGAGGCUCGAAAGCAUGGGUAGC
rnacentral:rRNA from 1 species